rfam:Triticum urartu cultivar G1812 contig696308, whole genome shotgun sequence.
AAAAUACUUCCCCGUCCCAAAAUUUUUGUCUUAAAUUUGUCUAAAUACGGAUGUAUCAAGUCGCGUUUUAGUAUUAGAUACAUCCGUAUCUAGAAAAAUCUUAGACAAGAAUUUUGGGACGGAGGGAGUAAAAG